UGGGGAAUAUUGGACAAUGGGCGCAACCCUGAUCCAGCAAUGCCGCGUGUGUGAAGAAGGCCUGCGGGUUGUAAAGCACUUUUAUUAAGGAAGAAAAACCCGGAUAUAAUACCUCCGGGAUUGACGGUACCUUAAGAAUAAGCACCCGCUAACUCAGUGCCAGCAGCCGCGGUAAUACUGAAGGUGCAAGCGUUAAUCCGAAUUACUGGGCGUAAAGCGAGUGUAAGGUGCUAUAAUUAUCGGAUGUGAAAGCCCUGGGCUUAACCUGGGAAUUGCAUUCUGAUACUGUUUACUAGAGUUUGAUAAAAGUAAGUGGAAUUCCCGGUGUAGCGGUGAAAUGGCUAAAUAUUAGGAGGAACACCCAUGGCCAAAGGCACUUUCUGGUCUUUUACUGACCCUUAAGGUGCAAAGCCUGGGGAGCAAACCGGAAUAAAUACCCUGGUAAUCCACCCUGUAAACCAAGGAUACUAAGUGUGGGGGACAU
rnacentral:rRNA from 1 species